rnacentral:misc_RNA from 1 species
GAUGAAGAACGCAGCGAAAUGCGAUACUUGGUGUGAAUUGCAGAAUCCCGUGAACCAUCGAGUCUUUGAACGCAAGUUGCGCCUCAAGCCAUUAGGUUGAGGGCACGUCUGCCUGGGCGUCACAUAUCGUUGCCUGAUGCCAGUUUCCUCGUGAUGGGUGACUGUGCAGGGCGAAUGAUGGCUUCCCGUGAGCAUUGUUGCCUCAUGGUUGGUUGAAAAUUGAGUCCUUGGUAGGGAGCGCCGUGAUAGAUGGUGGUUGAGUGACGAACGAGACCCAAUCAUGUGAGACCCCUACCGAAUUUGGCCUUCAUGACCCACAUGCGUCUUUGGAACGCUCAUGACGAGACCUCAGGUCAGGCGGGGCUACCCGCUGAGUAUAAGCAUAUCAAUAAGCGGAGGA